CCUACGGGAGUCAGCAGUGGGGGAUAUUGCACAAUGGGGGAAACCCUGAUGCAGCGACGCCGCGUGGGUGAAGAAGUAUUUCGGUAUGUAAAGCCCUAUCAGCAGGGAAGAAAGAAGACGGUACCUGACUAAGAAGCCCCGGCUAACUACGUGCCAGCAGCCGCGGUAAUACGUAGGGGGCGAGCGUUAUCCGGAUUCACUGGGUGUAAAGGGAGCGUAGACGGCCGUGCAAGCCAGGAGUGAAAGCCCGGGGCCCAACCCCGGGACUGCUCUUGGAACUGUGCGGCUGGAGUGCGGGAGGGGCAGGCGGAAUUCCUGGUGUAGCGGUGAAAUGCGUAGAUAUCAGGAGGAACACCGGCGGCGAAGGCGGCCUGCUGGACCGCGACUGACGUUGAGGCUCGAAAGCGUGGGGAGCGAACAGGAUUAGAUACCCGAGUAGUC
rnacentral:rRNA from 1 species